UACUAUGUAUUACAUCCUAUUUGUCUAAUCCUGUCGGCUUGGGCUCCAACUUGUGCUUCCACAACGCUGAAUUGACCUUCAGUUCAAUUAUCGUUCUUUACUGUUUUUUUUUUUUUGAUUUUAUUUUUUGAGUUCAAGGAUGGAAAUUUUGAUCUUUUGGUUGCCUUCAUCAGUUAGUUUGACGAUUGGCUGGGAAAGAAUUGCUGUCGCAUGUUUUUCCACUCGUAUGUUGUGGUGGUGGUACAGGUGGUACACGGACGUUCGUGUUAUUCGGUGCCUUUACUGACCACGUUUCAAUUAACAUCGCAUGCAAACUCUUUGCUCUUACGUGUUGGAUUAUAUGUCCAACUUUCUCCUAAUUUUAAAAGCUAACCUACAGGUUUGGUUACGUCAACAAAUGAUUAAUCUUUUCCUGUGUGGCAACCCUUUCUGAGUCAUGCCUGCUAUAAAAAAGAAUUCUGAAUGCAGUCGGAUUGGGAAUGUUUUCCACAAGUUGAUGAGGCAGAUUGGAAAUCCAGUUGACUUUGAACUUCCUGAUUGGUUUAGUAAAUGGAAGCCUUUGCCGUAUACCUUCAUUAGGCGUAGUAUCCUUUGCUAGUUUUGUUCUUUACUAUCCUUUGAACUGUAUACAUUUUUUUCUUUCUUUUUGAAGUUUGUACUUUUCAUUAAUGAAAUUUGCAUACCGUGGACAUUUUCUUU